CAGAUUCGGAUCACUCGGUAUUUGUUUAUUUUACUUUGUAGAGUAGCUAAAUAGCGGUGUCGCGGCGUCAUUAACAAAACUUAGCAGUUAUGAUUCACCUAUAAGAGGUACAUUCUCUGAAGGAGGCAUGAUCUCAGCCACCAGCAGCUGAAACACGGUGAGCGCCAGCAUCACGGUGACUCCCAGUGACACCUUCUCCCCAGAGUCUGCAGUUUCAGAGUAUACGUCACAUCCGGAUAAGGGUCUGCACAGCAGCCGUACAGAAUGAUGUUUUUCUUGGCUGGCAUUCCCAGCACCUCCCAUUCCACGUUGUCCACCAAGUCUGCGAGAUCUGCACUCUCCAUGGC